rnacentral:rRNA from 1 species
CAGAGGCCAUUGCUAUCAGGGUUUGACUAAGCCAUGCGAGUCGAGAGGUGUAAGACCUCGGCAUACUGCUCAGUAACACGUGGUUAACCUGCCCUAAGGUGGAGAAUACUCCCGGGAAACUGGGGCUAAUGCUCCAUAGUGGAUAUGUCCUGGAAUGGUAUAUCCUCGAAAGAUCCGUCGCCUUAGGAUGGGACUGCGUCCGAUUAGGUUGUUGGCGGGGUAACGGCCCACCAAGCCUUUUAUCGGUACGGGUUGUGGGAGCAAGAUCCAGGAGAUGGAUUCUGAGACAUGAAUCCAGGCCCUACGGGGCGCAGCAGG